rnacentral:rRNA from 1 species
GUUUGAUCCUGGCUCAGAACGAACGUUGGCGGCGUGGAUGAGGCAUGCAAGUCGCGCGAGAAAGCACCUUCGGGUGCGAGUAAAGCGGCGGACGGGUGAGUAACACGUGACCGACCUGCCCUUGAUCCUGGGACAACAGCGGGAAACUGCUGCUAAUACCGGAUGGCCCAUUUGGACUGCAUGGUCUGGAUGGUAAAGGUGGGGAUCCUGCGGGACCUACUGAUCGAGGAGGGGGUUGCGGCCCAUCAGCUAGUUGGCGGGGUAACGGCCCACCAAGGCGACGACGGGUAGCAGGCCUGAGAGGGUGGUCUGCCACACUGGGACUGAGACACUGCCCCAGACUCCUACGGGAGGCUGCAGUCGAGGAUCUUCCGCAAUGGGCGCAAGCCUGACGGAGCGACGCCGCGUGGAGGACGAAGGCCUUAGGGUUGUAAACUCCUGUCGAGGGUUAUGAAGAGCGUCUGGCGAACAGCCUGACGAGUGACGUAAGCCCUGGAGGAAGCACCGGCUAACUCUGU